GUCACAACGUACAAGAACAUUUCAUUUUCAUCAGCUUUACUUGAACAAAGUGUUUUUUCUCUUUCCAGCUCAACUCUCUCUUUGUUUAUCCUUUGAGUUUCCAUUCUUCUAGUCAAAUGUAUAACUCAAACCAAAUUUGAUGAAAUUCAAAGAGGAAAUUCAUGAAGGAGCUUACACUAGAAUGAAUUUUGCUUUAAUUAUGUCAAGUCGGAUUUUCUUUCUUCAUUUCUUUCAGUUCGGCUUAGGGUCUAAGUACUUGUAUUCCUCUUCGAUCCUUCUUCUUACAGACCUCGUAAAUGCAUUUUUAUUUCUUAAAUCUGUUAUUUAUACCUAAUUUUUUUAUUAAACCUUCAAAUCGGUGUUUUAUUUGAUUUGCAUAUCUGAAACUUUUUUUCUUGCAUGGUAGCUCAAGUUUAGUAGAUGAAGAAUGCAUUUGUCAUUUAUUGAAAUCUGUUCAUUUUUAUUUGAUUCUUCAAAGAGGAAAUUCAUGGAGGAGCAAAAAAAAGUCGUGAUUAGCAUACGGCGAUGGUUUUGAAGGAGAAUGAUGCAGCGAAAUGGGGUUACAGAGGAGAAGGAGCUGUGAAUCUUGUGCUUUCUCAUAAUGGACAUUAUCCCCAUUUUGACACUGAGUAAUUCUGCCGACCAAAGUGGGAGCAGAUGUGUUCAGCUUUGUGUUGUUGUAGCUGGAGAUUUGGACUUGGGAUCUUCAGGUUGUUGAUCACAUGCCUCAACUGCUUAGCAUUGUGGGAGAAUACAGUUUUCUUUCUCAAAUGUCUAGGUUUUUUUUCCUUCCCCUAUCAAUGGUAAAAAAGCCCUUUCCAGAAAACGAUUUAGAAAAUGCCUUAUUUAUGCAGAUGUUCCAUUUGCCGGCAGAGAUAUGGGUGAUUAAACAAUUAAGGCAUGUCUAUUUCAGUCAAUGCUGCUACUUUCGUAGUAUUCAGCCUGAACAAAAAAGUAUCCGCUCCAGUUAAGUCGCUCUAAUGUUGCAUUAACCAAUCUGCAAACCCUUUCUUACAUUACCUUUGGUAGUAUUACAAGACACAUCUUUGAAGGCAUGGCCAACCUGAAGAAGUUAGGAAUUCGUGAAAGUGAAGAAUUGUGCUUGACUGCUGAACAAAUAUCUGGAAAACUCAAGAAGCUGGUUUUGUUGGCGCACCUUGAAAUAUUCAAGGGUUUCUUUAUCAAACCAUGAAUACUUGAACAAUGUGAUACUUUUCCACGAACCCUCAAGAAAUUGACGUCGCGGGGGUGCCAACUGCCAUGGGACCAAAUGACGAUACUGUGCAAGUUACCCAAACUCGAGGUGCUUAAGCUCCAAAGAUUAUACUCGCCAACUGCCAUGGGACCAAAUGACGAUACUUUGAACCUUAAGUCCUGCUUUCAUCUGAUAUUUGGUGCACCCCCUCGACAAGCAAAGAGUCUAAUGCAGAGGAAAGUCGGGCUUUCCGGCCGGAAUGAUUCAUCAACUUGGUUUCUUUUGGGAAGUUACUAUGUAUAUACAUUGGAGACUUGAAAUAAAGGUACUUGUUGCAGCCAUGGUUAUGAUUCUUUUGGUCUCAGCAAGAAGCCAGAAAACUUUGUCAAGGUGUCAAAGGACCUUCCUUUUUUACUUGCUGAUGGAUAUGUUGAUCUUGAGCUUCAGAUUGAUUUCUUGCCAUAAGAAUGGGACACUUUCUACUAUUAUGCCCUAAAGUUCCACAUGAUCCGCACUUCUUUUUUCUACCCCUUCUCGAUGCUUUUAAUAAAGUAAGCUUCCCAGAAUUUGAUUCUUUUUGAGUUGUCUCAUCAAUUCCUCUCUUCCUUGAUAUUUUUGGUCUACCUGGUUGUGCUUUGUAUAUGGGUGGCAGUGGUGGUUCUAUCCCCGUCUUAGGCCAUUGAUCAAUGCUAACAAUUGGCAAGAUUGAUGGAUUAUAACUCUUCAAGUACUGUUUAACUGUGUAGCAUACAUUUAAGGUUUAUUCUUCUUAAACCAUAUCGCUGCAAUAGCAUGAUUACAAGGAAUUCCUGUUAAUUCCCAUCUCCUACAUGAAUAAAUUUUCUUUUUAAGAUCAACAGAAAAUAGCCUAAGAUAGAUGUCCUUAAUUUGAUUGUGAAAUUGAUCAGAUUUAGCGACAAUACAUUCAGCAGCUUUAGCCUUAUUUUUCUCCAGUUUCACUUUGAUCCUCGGACAGAUUAUCCGACAAUACUUCAUCAUUUUUUCUCUUUUCUUUUGAAGUCUGGGCAUCAAGUAGAUCCUAAUUGAUUCAAUCAUUGUCCAAAUAUGCAUCUCUUACAUGUAGAAGUACAUUGUUGAAUGACUCACAUAAAUUGUUUAAUAACACAUCACACUUUGAAAAAAAAAAAGAAAAAAGCCCUUGACCAGUGAAUGGGAGGCUUAUUAAUGAACCAUUCCGAGGCUUUUGGAUCUAAUUUUACCAUUACUUUCAUACGCUUGGAGAAUUCAGGUACUGUAGUUGCCCUGGCAGCCGUCCAUAGGACAUCUUUCAGUAUUUAUCCCCCAAAACCUUCGAUCUUAAAAUUACUGUUCAGAUGUCCCGCACAAAAUCUGUGCGCAACAUCUGGCAUUGUCUCAUCAAAUACUGGAAUUAAACAUUUUUGCUUAUCUGAAAUGAAAGUCCAUGCAAAAGGAUUUUGUGAGAUGCCUAAGUCCUCAUCAAGAAGUGUAAGGAACCAACUCCAUGUUUCCUUCAAUUCACCUUCCACUGUUGCGAGUUCAAUAGGAUACAUGUUGUCGCUUCCAUCAAUGCCUACUGCGGUCAAUAGCUGCCCUCCCCUUUUGGUUCCCUUUCAAAUGACAUCCAUCAACUCCUAUUAUAGGUCGACACUAGCUAAGAACCCCUAUUUACAAGCUGCAAAACACACAGAGAGUCUUAAAAACCAUUUUCUACCAUCGACCAUUGUUUUUGGAUUUUCAUUCAACUUCAAAAUACAUGUUGUCCCUAGAUUACUCCUCCUUAGCUCUGCAAAGUAAUCCCACAACAUAUCAUAUUGCUCGAAAGGUUCAUUUUGAUUAGCUUUCGAUGCAAAUAUAAAUCAUUUGCAACUUGGAAACUUACAAGUUGCCCUCUACCUCCUACAUUCAUUUUUUUUUUUAACUUGAUAUCUUUGUUUUGACUCACAGCAUGUACUUCAAUUGCCCAUUUGAAUUCUUUGCUAUUACUAAAAAUCAUAUUAAGCCCAAACUUAAAUUUUGGAUCCUCCAAAUUCCUAGUUGGAUUAAAAACAGUGAACUUUUUCUGAUUUUCAUCAUCAGAAUCUCCAUGUAAACUCAUUAAUUUCUCGUCUGAUAUGGCACAAUCAUCUUCUUGAGUGUUAUUAGGGCACAUGUCCAGCAUGUUUGAGGCAACUCCAAACUCCAUAGUGUUUCCUUUAACUUGAUUAUCUUUACUUCUCCCAUUAACACCAACCCAUUCUACGGUAGAGUCUUUUUUUAUCAAAAAGCAUGUCAUCUUCUUGUAAGAAAUAAUCAGAGUCAUGAAAUGACUCACAUUCUUCACUUGUGGCAUUACUCUCAUCAUCUUUCUCUAUUACAUCCACAUCUACUAGGCCUUCGUCACCAUGUAGUAUUGGCUCACCCUCAGAAUCAACCACAUUAUAGCUCCAUCUAUCCUCAUCUGUGUGUUCGAUGAAUAUUUCCACCACUUUACUAUUGGGUAUUUUAUAGACAAGGCUAUAUAUAUCCAAAUUAGUUGAUAAAAGUCUAGUAUACGUCUCAAAAAAGGCCCAAAUUUGAAUCAAAAUUUCACUUUUCUAUCAUCGACUUUCAAUUUUUUCAUACACGGCCUCAUUUGAAUGAUAGAAUUUUUGUCGCCAUUGCAAUAGUCAUAAUAAGCUAUUUGUCCACUAACAUAGUUCAUCUCUGGUUCAAACACCCACUGACCUUUGUAGUACCUUUGUGGUGUAGUUAAAUGGUGUACAUAUUUGGAUCAUCGCCUUCAUCUGUUAUGAGAAUAGCAAAAUUAGAAGCUGUUAGGGUUAUUUCAAUAAGUAGAACUAACAUUAAAAAGUAUAAUCGAUCAUAUAAUUUCAGAAUGUGCACCACAAUAUUUAAUUUUUAUGUUUCUUGCCGAAAACGUUUAACAAAAAUUAUUCUUUAUGUAAAAUAGUAAUAAGAAAAUAAAAAUUAAAUGUUUUAUUUUUAUUCUUAAUUCUAUAAUACUGUAGCAUUCAAUGUUAUGUCUUGGAAUGACCAAAAUACAAUCGUUGUUAUGUAGAAAAUUAGUUAUGCAAUUCAGAAGUAUACAAAACUUAAUACAAACUAAAUAUUUAGAGCGAAGUCAUGCGGAAAAGUUUAAUUAAAUUAAAGGGAUAACAAGCAGUGACUGUAUUGACAGAUCUGUUAACACUUCAAGAAGUAUGUAGUAAGUAUGUAGUAGUGAGUACUGCUAAUUAACAAUUCUUUUUAGAUAUCCACAAAUGCGGUCAAGUAGACAUCUCACAAAUGUGGUCAUCUAUUAAGAGUUUAAAAGGAUAAUUAACACUUCUUUUUUAUUUGACUUACAACAUGUAUACUUCAAUAUAUUUUCAAUUCAUGUAUUCAGUUGCAAUACAAAUGUAUUCACUGUUAUGCAUUAAUUAAAUUAAAGGUUUUGUUCUUUUCUCAUCCAGCAAUAUUAAAGAUCUAGUGUAAUUAAACUUGAUUGAGUACUCACAUGUUGGCGUGGAUUGCAGUCUGCUCUUGUAAUGCUAACGCAGUUUCAUUAUUGAAAAUAUUGAUUAUCUUUCUUUCUUUUCACAA